rnacentral:rRNA from 1 species
GCAAGCGUUACUCGGAAUCACUGGGCAUAAAGCGCGCGUAGGCGGGUUUUCAAGUCGGUUGUGAAAUCCCUCAGCUCAACUGAGGAACUGCAUCCGAUACUGUCUGUCUUGAGGACGAGAGGGGAGAGUGGAACUUCUGGUGGAGCGGUGAAAUGCGUAGAUAUCAGAAGGAACGCCGGUGGCGAAAGCGACUCUCUGGCUCGUAUCUGACGCUGAGGCGCGAAAGCUUGGGUAGCAAACGGGAUUAGAUACCCCGGUAGUCCAAGCCGUAAACGAUGAACACUAGGGAGAGGAGACCCCGAUGUCUUCCCUCCUGGCGCAAAUGUAUUAAGUGUUCCGCCUGGGGAGUACAGUCGCAAGGCCG